rnacentral:rRNA from 1 species
AGUGGCGGACGGGGUGGAGUAACGCGUGGGCAACCUACCCCACACAGGGGACGAACAGUUGGAAACGACUGCUAAUACCGCAUAGGCGCACAGCUUCGCAUGAAGCAGUCGUGGAAAACCGAGGUGGUGUGGGAUGGGCCCGCGUCUGAUUAGCUGGUUGGCGGGGUAACGGCCCACCAAGGCGACGAUCAGUAGCCGGCCUGAGAGGGUGGACGGCCACAUUGGGACUGAGACACGGCCCAAACUCCUACGGAAGGCAGCAG